UUCUGCCAAUGAUAAGUUGCAACUUUAUUGCCUACAUUUUUUAAAGUCUGGUAAAAGUGCAAUUUCUGAGACAUAA
rfam:Zea mays cultivar B73 chromosome 7, whole genome shotgun sequence.